AUACGUAGGGUGCAAGCGUUAAUCGGAAUUACUGGGCGUAAAGCGUGCGCAGGCGGUUUUGUAAGACAGUGGUGAAAUCCCCGGGCUCAACCUGGGGACUGCCAUUGUGACUGCAAGGCUGGAGUGCGGCAGAGGGGGAUGGAAUUCCGCGUGUAGCAGUGAAAUGCGUAGAUAUGCGGAGGAACACCGAUGGCGAAGGCAAUCCCCUGGGCCUGCACUGACGCUCAUGCACGAAAGCGUGGGGAGCAAACAGGAUUAGAUACCCUGGUAGUCCACGCCCUAAACGAUGUCAACUGGUUGUUGGGGAUUUAUUUUCUCAGUAACGAAGCUAACGCGUGAAGUUGACCGCCUGGGGAGUACGGCCGCAAGGUUAAAACUCAAAUGAAUUGACGGGG
rnacentral:rRNA from 1 species